rnacentral:rRNA from 2 species
AGCAGCCGCGGUAAUUCCAGCUCCAAUAGCGUAUAUUAAAGUUGCUGCAGUUAAAAAGCUCGUAGUUGAAUUUCGGGACCAUCAUGUCGGUCGUGCCUCGGUACGUACUGGCAUUGUUGGUUUCUCCCUUCUGACGAACCAUGAUGUCAUUAAUUUGGUGUCUUGGGGAAUCAGGACUGUUACUUUGAAAAAAUUAGAGUGUUUAAAGCAGGCUCACGCUUGAAUACAUUAGCAUGGAAUAAUGAAAUAGGACGUUUGAUUCUAUUUUGUUGGUUUCUAGGAUCGACGUAAUGAUUAAUAGGGAUAGUUGGGGGCAUUAGUAUUCAAUUGUCAGAGGUGAAAUUCUUGGAUUUAUUGAAGACUAACUACUGCGAAAGCAUUUGCCAAGGAUGUUUUCAUUAAUCAAGAACGAAAGUUAGGGGAUCGAAGACGAUCAGAUACCGUCGUAGUCUUAACCAUAAACUAUGCCGACUAGGGAUCGGAUGAUGUUAAUUUUUUAAUGACUCA